GCAUUGGUGGGGUAGUGGUAACCUGGGUCGUUGCCACCUCUUGCGGAUUCGACCCGCCCCGGGUUCGAUUCCCGGUCAAUGCA